UACGGAGGGAGCUAGCGUUGUUCGGAAUUACUGGGCGUAAAGCGCACGUAGGCGGCUUUGUAAGUUAGAGGUGAAAGCCCGGGGCUCAACUCCGGAAUUGCCUUUAAGACUGCAUCGCUUGAAUCCGGGAGAGGUGAGUGGAAUUCCGAGUGUAGGGUGAAUACGUAGAUAUUCGGAAGAACACCAGUGGCGAAGGCGACUUACUGGACACAUAUUGACGCUGAGGUGCGAAAGCGUGGGAGCAAACAGG
rnacentral:rRNA from 1 species